AAUGAACGCUGGCGGCGCGCCUAAUACAUGCAAGUCGAGCGAGAAGACGUAGCAAUACGUUUGUAAAGCGGCGAACGGGUGAGGAAUACAUGGGUAACCUACCCUCGAGUGGGGAAUAACUAGCCGAAAGGUUAGCUAAUACCGCGUACGCUUCUUGGACUUCGGUUCAGGGAGGAAAGCGAUGCCGAGGGUAUCGCGCUCUUGGAUGGGCUCAUGUCCUAUCAGCUUGUUGGUGAGGUAACGGCUCACCAAGGCUUCGACGGGUAGCUGGUCUGAGAGGACGAUCAGCCACACUGGCACUGCGACACGGGCCAGACUCCUACGGGAGGCAGCAGUAAGGAAUAUUGCGC
rnacentral:rRNA from 1 species